UGCUCGAGUGGCGAACGGGUGAGUAACACGUGAGUAACCUGCCCUUGACUUUGGGAUAACUUCAGGAAACUGGGGCUAAUACCGGAUAGGAGCUCCUGCUGCAUGGUGGGGGUUGGAAAGUUUCGGCGGUUGGGGAUGGACUCGCGGCUUAUCAGCUUGUUGGUGGGGUAGUGGCUUACCAAGGCUUGACGGGUAGCCGGCCUGAGAGGGUGACCGGCCACAUUGGGACUGAGAUACGGCCCAG
rnacentral:rRNA from 1 species